UGGGGAAUAUUGCACAAUGGAGGGAACUCUGAUGCAGCGACGCCGCGUGAGUAAUGAAGGACUUCGUUUCGUAAAACUCUGUUCUAUGGGAAGAAAAGGACUGUACCAUAGGAGAAAGCUCCGGCUAAAUACGUGCCAGCAGCCGCGGUAAUACGUAUGGAGCGAGCGUUGUCCGGAAUUAUUGGGCGUAAAGGGUGCGCAGGCGGCUUUACAAGUUGGAUGUGAAAUAUUGUGGCUCAACCACAAACGUGCAUCCAAAACUGCAAAGCUUGAGUUAAGGAGAGGUAAGUGGAAUUCCUGGUGUAGCGGUGGAAUGCGUAGAUAUCAGGAGGAAUACCGGUGGCGAAGGCGACUUACUGGACUUAAACUGACGCUCAGGCACGAAAGCGUGGGGAGCAAACAGG
rnacentral:rRNA from 1 species